AAACGGCCGCGGUACCCUAACCGUGCAAAGGUAGCAUAAUCAUUUGCCUUUUAAUUGGAGGCUGGUAUGAAUGGUUUGACGAGAGCUAUGCUGUCUCUUUCGAAAUAUUUAAAAAUUAACCUUUAGGUGAAGAGGCCUGAAUCUAUUUAAGGGACAAGAAGACCCUGUUGAGCUUUAGUGAUUUUAUAAAUUUACAGGUAAUCUAGUUAAUGAUUAUAGUUCGGUAUAUUAAUAUAUAACAUAGGUUUAUAGGUAAUCUUUAGUUGGGGCGACUGAGGAACACAUAAAGCUUCCUUGAAUUUAAGAGCGUGUUAAGCAAUUUAGUUUACUGAUGCAUUUAUGUUAAUUUUGAUCCAAUUUAUUUUGAUUAAGAGAAAAAGUUACCACAGGGAUAACAGCGUAAUCUUUCUGGAGAGAUCUAAUCGAAAGAAGGGUUUGCGACCUCG
rnacentral:rRNA from 1 species